rnacentral:rRNA from 1 species
AAUAGAUACCCGGGUAGUCCUGGCCGUAAACGAUGACCACUCGAUGUAGGAGGUAUCGACCCCUUCUGCGUCGUAAGCUAACGCGAUAAGUGGUCCGCCUGGGGAGUACGGUCGCAAGAUUAAAACUCAAAGGAAUUGACGGGGACCCGCACAAGCAGCGGAGCGUGUGGUUUAAUUCGAUGCAACGCGAAGAACCUUACCAGGACUUGACAUGCUCUUGCACCGCCCGUCAUGGGGCGUGCCCGCAAGGGACGGGAGCACAGGUGCUGCAUGGCUGUCGUCAGCUCGUGUCGUGAGAUGUUGGGUUAAGUCCCGCAACGAGCGCAACCCCCAUGGCUAGUUGGAUUUGUCUAGCCAGACUGCCACUCUCAAAGUGGAGGAAGGUGGGGAUGACGUCAAGUCAGCACGGCCCUUACGUUCUGGGCGACACACACGCUACAAUGGCCGGGACAACGAGUCGCCAACCCGCGAGGGGAGCCAUCUCAGCAAACCCGGUCUCAGUUCAGAUUGUAGGCUGCAACCCG